rnacentral:rRNA from 1 species
UACGUAGGGGGCAAGCGUUGUCCGGAAUUAUUGGGCGUAAAGAGCGUGUAGGCGGUUAGGUAGGUCCGUUGUGAAAACUCGAGGCUCAACCUCGAGACGCCGAUGGAAACCAUCUGACUAGAGUCCGGAAGAGGAGAGUGGAAUUCCUGGUGUAGCGGUGAAAUGCGCAGAUAUCAGGAAGAACACCCGUGGCUAAGGCGGCUCUCUAGUACGGUACUGACGCUGAGACGCGAAAGCGUGGGGAGCGAACAGG